UACGUAGGGUGCAAGCGUUAUCCGGAAUUACUGGGCGUAAAGAGCGUGUAGGCGGUGCUGUAAGUCAACCGUGAAAGCUCCCGGCUAAACUGGGAGAGGUCGGAUGAGACUGCAGCGCUAGUGGGUCGUAGAGGAAUGUGGAAUUCCGGGUGUAGUGGUGAAAUGCGUAGAUAUCAGGAGGAACACCUGCGGUGUAGACGGCUUACUGGACCAUAACUGACGCUGAGGCACGAAAGCGUGGGUAGCAAACAGG
rnacentral:rRNA from 1 species